rnacentral:lncRNA from 1 species
GUUUCCUCAGACGGGUGGCGUCUCCCUUAGAGAGAGGGUGAGAAGCUCAGCCAUCAGGAGAGACUCGGAGUAGAGCCGCUGCUCCUUUACGUUGAAAGGAGCCAGUUGAGGUGGUUCAUCAUCUAGUAAGGAGCCACCUGGGCGCCUCCCUAGGGAGGUGUUCCAGGCACGUCCAGCUGGGAGGAGACCCCGGGGAAGACCCAGGACUCGGUGGAGAGAUGAUAUCUCCUCACUGGGAACGCCUCAGGAUCCCCCAGUCGGAGCUGGAGGAUGUGGCCCGGAGAAGGGAAGAUUGGGGUUCCUUACUGGAGCUGCUGCCCCCGCGACCCGAUCCCGGAUAAGAUGUAGACGAUGGAUGGAUUUUAUAUCUUAUAAAUGUUUAUAUCUUAUGGAUGUUACAGAGGAGUCUCCUCCUGCUGGAUGUUACAGAGGAGUCUCCUGCUGGAUGUUACAGAGGAGUCUCCUGCUGGAUGUUACAGAGGAGUCUCCUCCUGCUGGAUGUUACAGAGGAGUCUCCUCCUGCUGGAUGUUACAGUGGAGUCUCCUGCUGGAUGUUACAGAGGAGUCUCCUGCUGGAUGUUACAGAGGAGUCUCCUGCUGGAUGUUACAGAGGAGUCUCCUGCUGGAUGUUACAGAGGAGUCUCCUGCUGGAUGUUACAGAGGAGUCUCCUGCUGGAUGUUACAGAGGAGUCUCCUGCUGGAUGUUACAGAGGAGUCUCCUCCUGCUGAAUGUUACAGAGGAGUCUCCUCCUGCUGGAUGUUACAGAGGAGUCUCCUCCUGCUGGAUGUUACAGAGGAGUCUCCUGCUGCUGGAUGUUACAGAGGAGUCUCCUCCUGCUGGAUGUUACAGAGGAGUCUCCUCCUGCUGGAUGUUACAGAGGAGUCUCCUCCUGCUGGAUGUUACAGAGGAGUCUCCUCCUGCUGGAUGUUACAGUGGAGUCUCCUGCUGGAUGUUACAGAGGAGUCUCCUGCUGGAUGUUACAGAGGAGUCUCCUGCUGGAUGUUACAGAGGAGUCUCCUGCUGGAUGUUACAGAGGAGUCUCCUCCUGCU